UACGUAGGUGGCAAGCGUUGUCCGGAUUUACUGGGCGUAAAGGAUGCGUAGGCGGAUAUUUAAGUCAGAUGUGAAAUUCCCGGGCUCAACUUGGGAGCUGCAUUUGAAACUGGGUAUCUAGAGUGCGGGAGAGGAGAGUGGAAUUCCUAGUGUAGCGGUGAAAUGCGCAGAUAUCAGGAGGAACACCGAUUGCGAAGGCAGCUCGCUGGGACGUCACUGACGCUGAGACGCGAAAGCGUGGGGAGCAAACAGG
rnacentral:rRNA from 1 species